UUUCCGUAGGUGAACCUGCGGAAGGAUCAUUAAAAAUGAAGCCGGGAAACCGGUCCUUCUCACCCUUGAUUAUCUCAAUUUGUUGCUUUGGUGGGCCGCGCAAGCACCGGCUUCGGCUGGAUCGUGCCCGCCAGAGGACCACAACUCUGUAUUAUAUGUCGUCUGAGUACUAUAAAAUAGUUAAAACUUUUAACAACGGAUCUCUUGGUUCUG
rnacentral:misc_RNA from 1 species